GGCGACCGGCGCACGGGUGAGUAACACGUAUCCAACCUGCCGCUUACUCGGGGUAGGCCUUCGAAAGAAAGAUUAAUACCGAUGGUAUAAAGAGUCGCAUGUUCUCUUUAUUAAAGUAAUUUCGGUAAGCGAUGGGAUGCGUUCCAUUAGAUAGUUGGCGGGGUAACGGCCCACCAAGUCUACGAUGGAUAGGGGUUCUGAGAGGAAGGUCCCCCACAUUGGAACUGAGACACGGUCCAAACUCCUACGGGAGGCAGCAGUGAGGAAUAUUGGUCAAUGGACGAGAGUCUGAACCAGCCAAGUAAGCGUGAAGGAUGACUGCCCUAUGGGUUGUAAACUUCUUUUCCCCGGGAAGAAUAAGCCCCUCGUGAGGGGUGAUGCCGGUACCGGGGGAAUAAGGAUCGGCUAACUCCGUGCCAGCAGCUGC
rnacentral:rRNA from 1 species